UACGUAGGGUGCAAGCGUUGUCCGGAAUUAUUGGGCGUAAAGAGCUCGUAGGCGGUCUGUCGCGUCUGCUGUGAAAACUCAGGGCUUAACCCUGAGCUUGCAGUGGGUACGGGCAGACUAGAGUGCGGUAGGGGGAGACUGGAAUUCCCGGUGUAGCGGUGAAAUGCGCAGAUAUCGGGAAGAACACCCGUGGCGAAGGCGGUUCUCUGGGACGGUACUGACGCUGAGACGCGAAAGCGUGGGGAGCGAACAGG
rnacentral:rRNA from 1 species